GUGGUAAGGAGCAGGCUUGUGGACAACGGGAGCUGGG
rnacentral:lncRNA from 1 species